UUUUUUCUUUCUAAAGCACUUCUUAAAAUUGCCUCUGAUAUUUUUUAAAUGUGCUCAGAAGUCCUAGCUCUGGCAGUUUUUUAACUAAUAAAAUAAACACAGCAAUCAAGUACCUACAGUUCUGUUAACAGUAUUGUUUGUAUUCUAAGCCCUAUCCACAAAGGCUACAGAGAAAAAUAUCCAGUAUAAACAAAUAUUACUUAGAUACCAGUGGCAUCUCAGAGCAGCACACCCAAGUCUUAAAAUGCAAACGGGAGAAAUUUUCCACUCCCACGGCGCAUAACUUCCUGGUGAACCUCAUAUCAGGCAAAAGAGAGAGAAAUUGUCUCUGUUACUGUGAAGCUGGGGAGGAGGUGUGGGUGUGAAGCAAAUCAGUAAUUCUCUUUCUUCAUUUUUUCACCAUCUUUUUCCCCUCCACAUAUCUCUUCUUUUCCAUGAUGUCUUUCUCUUUUCUCAUAUUUCCUGCAUUCAGCAGUUCUCUCAUCUUCUUUCAUUUCCAUCCCCAAUUUUAAAAGAAAAGAUAACUUUGUCCUUUAAUCUCAUCACUUAAGAUCAGCCCCUAAACUUCAUAUAACACUCACAUAAACACUACUGAAUAAUAUUUUCAGUGUAAUGCACAAAUUAGGGCAAGAAGAGAUAAUCUACUGGGCUGGAGUUAGGGCUGGGGGAAAAAAAAUUGCCAUUUGUAUUUGCAAUGUCCAAGCUUCCAGCUGAGAGAGAAGUCAAACUGUAGGAAGGCAGAAGCUUGUUCUGAGAAAUGCUACGAUGAGGUAAGGCAUAAAGAUCCACGCAACCCUAUGAGAAUCACAAUGAGCCAGUACAGCCCAUGUCACCAUGCAGCUGAAACCCAUGGCAAUAGUCACUUCUGAUGCAAUAAUCACUUCCCAGGACAGAGGAAUGUUUCCUUUAAGUUUGACUUUUGAUUCUACAGUCCAAGGCUUAAAAUUGAAGAAGACCUACUGACUGGGUUGAUCCUUUCCACACAGACUCAUCUUCCCAAAACUCUUGCACAUCUUUUUGCAGAUUCUUAGCGCUAUUGCUAAGUUAUGUUCUCUGCCUACAUUUAUCAGUCUUCCCUCACUUAAGGCUUACCAUAAAACUCUGUGUCUUAGUUUUUUUCUCAAUUCCAUAACUGUAAUUAUAUAGUAAUAACCAUAACUUUCGAGUCAAGGUAAUUAAAUAAACUAACAUUUGUAAAGUGUUUAGAACAGUGUUUGGUAAAGAAAGAAUUAUGUAAAAAUUUGUUAAAUAAAAUGAAAAUAAAUUAUCGAUUCAAAUGACAAAAACUCCAUAUGAUGGUAAAACAGACUUCAAACAGAAAAGAACAACUUGUUAGUAUGAGUCAUCAAUCCAGUUGAAUUACCAAAAGAGAUUACCUAAGGAUCAGGCUUUAUCUAAAUAUUUUGUAUUUAACCAGUUCUGGCCUGGUCUUGAGAUAUUUGUCAAGGAAGAAAUAAAUCUGUUGAAACCAGUUUACAAAAUGGAUGUGUGAGAGUUCACCCUUAGUCUGGGAUAUCCUGUAUCUGACUCUUCAGCAUCAUAGUCCUUUGGAUUCUUUUUACAUUAAUUAGAUAAAAUUAUUUAAGAGGCUUCAUUGUAUAGUCUAAAAAAGGAUAGAGUUUGAAGUCAAAUGUUUGGACUAAGGCAAAAGAACUUAUUUUCCCUUGGAGGCGGGGCUAUAAUGAGAUGAAAAGGACAGCUGUUAAGUCAUAAAACUAGAAACAGAAAAAGGCAGAAAAAAAGAUAGGACAAUAGGGAAGGAGAGACAAUGAUGAGAAAAUAAGGUCAGUUUCAUGAGAUGAGUCUGUUUACCAUGCUUAUAAUAUUGGAAUAAAUAAAGAAUAUAAUGAGAUCAAAACUUAUUACAAACAGGAAACAAAUACAUCACAAAUACGGAGCUCCAUAUGUGAAAGGUAUAAAAUGACCUCACGAGAAUAAAAACUCUGGUUUAAACUUUAUCGUCUCUAUUUAAAAACUGCUUUUAAGAUAAAACAAUAUUUUAAAAACAUGUCUGGAGUCUCAGAGUUAAAUUAGCAAAAAUCGGAAAUUAUAUGCUUUUAUUUUUCUAUUAAUAUUUAACAAGAAGUGUAGCUAGUUUUUCAUGAUCAUUAGGAAUAGUAAUUUAGAAGCCUGUAAGGCCGCUAACCAUAUUAAAAAUUAUUUUCGGGCAGCCCUGGUGUCUCAGCGGUUUAGCGCCACCUUCAGCCCAGGGUGUGAUCCUGGAGACGCAGGAUCGAGUACAACGUCGGGCUCCCUGCAUGGAGCCUGCUUAGCUCCGUCUGCCUGUGUCUCUGCCUCUCUCUCUGUGUGUGUGUGUGUGUCUCUCAAGAAUAAAUACAUAAAAUUAAAAAAAUAAAAAUUAAAAAAUUAAAAUUAUUUUCAGGGCAGCCCCAGUGACUCAGCGGUUUAGCGCCACCUUCGGUCCGGGACGUGAUCCUGGAGAUCCGGGAUCCAGUCCCACGUCGGGCUUCCUGCAUGGAGCCUGCUCCUCCCUCUGCCUGUGUCUUUGCCUCUCUGUGUGUGUGUGUGUGUGUCUCUCUCAUGAAUAAAUAAAUAAAAUCUUUAAAAAAAUUAUUUUCAUAGACUGAUUUCAUAAAUGUAACACCCAGAAAUUUUUAAACAAUUCAGCAGAUGUUCUAUAGGUGAUAGAAAUAUAAUGUUAACUUCAAAAAAGAAUCAUAUUUGACUUUUUAAAAACAUGAACGUCAUUUACAAUAAAAUUAAAUUACACUCACAGCAAUUCAAGGGAUAUAAUUGGUUUGCUAUGAAAACAAAUCCUUUGAAUUCUUGUUUAAUAAGAAGUAUUAGUAUUGACAGUUUUAAUCAAGACAAAUGGAAUUGAAAACUUUUCAAAAGUUUAUUAUGUUAAAAAUAUAUAGGGUUGAGGUGCUAAGCUUCUCUAAAUUUUAGCAGCAUGCCUCAAACUUUUGCCAGACGAAAAGUACACUUCCACUAAGCAAGAAAUUUCCAUUACUCUUAUAUUGAGAAGCCACACCCCAUACAACUAAUGACAGGAAAGCAUUUCAAUUCAACUCUAACACUAUCUAGCCUGAAGCAAAGUUUAAAAAAAAAAUACAAAAAUAAAACACAACUUAUAUUUUCAGAGAAGAAAGGAAACUCUUGCUAAAUAAGUAGCAAUUAUGCUGAAGAAUUUAUAUGCUAAGCACGACUGAAUGUAAAAACACCAGAGCAGUCAACCAUAGCUUUAGCACUUUGAGUAUGAUUAACAGAAUGAACUUUCAAAGGUCAAUUAAAUGUCAACACAUUUUAAAGAGAUAUUCUUCUUAAAUCUGGUCAAUGUAUAAUCCCUUGUAAUUUAGGGUUCCCUUCUCAAUUUCAGUGUCCUGUGCAUGUGGUAUAUAUAUAUAUAUAUAUAUAUAUAUAUAUAUAUAUAUAUACACACACACACACACACACACAUAUAUAUACACACACACACACACACAUAUACAUAUGCAGAUUCACAACAUGUCAUCAACUAGAUUACUAUGGAAAGUCACCUAGUGCCUAUCGUAGAGUUUGACUAUUUUAAUGUUUUUCAAUUUAUGAAAUGAUUUUAAAAAUUUAACUACUUACGAUACAGCGCUAUUCAAUGAAGAUAAAAUGCAAAGUAAAAUUUAAAUGCUAAGACUUAUGGUUUAUCCAAUAGCUGACCCCAUUUAUUCCAUUAUAGAAAGUCAUUCACAUGAUAACUCUUUAUUAUCCCUAAUGCAUCAUCCUGCUACCUAAUUUAUCUCCAAUAACCCUUCCCUGAAGGCUUGUGGUUACCAAAAAAAGCUUACCAAAAAAGAUACAUAGCAUUCAAAAAUUGCUGAUCCCAUCAAGGGAUCUGUGGGACAGAACAGGUCCUGAAAGCACUAAGUGCCCAUUCUUAACAUUUUCAUCCAAGAACCAGUAAGAGUCCCAAUUCCAUCCCACAUAAGGAAGGCCCAGUUGUCUCAGAGCCUCAGAAUGAGAAGGCACGCACCAUCAACAUCAUCUGACCCAAAUCUUUCUAUAGCCACAGCUCAGAAAAUGUAGAACCACAAAGGUAGAGCAAAUUAACUUUACUCCCACAGCUCUUUAGUAGACAUCAGGUCUUUAAAACUUACUUAGUUUAGUGUUUUCUUCUCUAUAUCAAAUUUAUGCUAUGUUUUUUCUCCAUUAGGACUUUAAGACCAGGUUAUAAUUGACCAAAUAGCUGUGCUUAUCAUAGACAUUCAGAGCAAGAUGGAAUCUUUAAGGAAUGAUGAUAUGGGAAGGCUCUAAAGAGGAGCUGGAAAUUGAAGAAUGGAUAGAAUCUAGGUGGUUCAAAAGGAGGCAUCACUAAUGAGGCAAUAGGCAAUAUGGGCUAGGGCCUGGUGGUGAGUAGGCCAUGUUCCAGGAACUAUGGGGAGAAUGUAUUUAGAGUAGGAUGGGAUACUGUUUUUAUGGCUGCUGUAUAAGCCAGGCAGUGGAAGUUCAAUCUGAUAUUGGAACACAUAGAAAACGAUGAAAGGAUUUUGAUUUUAAGAAAAAUGAUGCAAAGAUAGCAAAGACUAGCCUUGCAAUAGGUUUGCAAGAGAAUGGAGAUGGGGAGAGGAAGAUUUGAUGAGCCUCAUAGGGGUCUGUCUACUAAUGUUAAUAUUUUACAGGACUGUAAGAAAAAAGUGAGCUAAUGAGAGACAAAGUACUUCAAAAAGUAGAAGAGCUCUAGAAAGUAAACGUAUUAUUCAAAGUCAGGGGGCAGUGGCCUCUCUGAUCACUCUGCCAUGUCUUGAUGGCAUACACUUCUCUGAAAAGGCAAAUUUAGAGUUGGAUACUGGAUCUAUUUGCUUGGGAUCAGAGAGAGAAUAUCUCUUCCCUUCCAUAAUUCCAAAGGCUAGAUGCCAAGAGAAGACACAGUUGCCACCUCUGAGCUACUGCAAGGUUGAGGAUCACAGACACUAAAAUCCAAAACCAGUAUUAACAUUUUGAGGCAGACUACACAAUCAGUGUUUCUCAAAAUGAGUUAAAAAAAAAAAAAAAAAA
rnacentral:lncRNA from 1 species